rnacentral:rRNA from 1 species
UUAGAGUUUGAUCAUGGCUCAGAUUGAACGCUGGCGGCAGGCCUAACACAUGCAAGUCGAGCGGAUGACGGGAGCUUGCUCCUUGAUUCAGCGGCGGACGGGUGAGUAAUGCCUAGGAAUCUGCCUGGUAGUGGGGGACAACGUUUCGAAAGGAACGCUAAUACCGCAUACGUCCUACGGGAGAAAGCAGGGGACCUUCGGGCCUUGCGCUAUCAGAUGAGCCUAGGUCGGGUUAGCUAGUUGGUGGGGUAAUGGCUCACCAAGGGCGACGAUCCGUAACUGGUCUGAGAAGGAUGAUCAGUCACACUGGAACUGA